AGGAGGGGAGUGCGUUUAGGGCAGGGAGGGUUUGUGUCCUUCUGUGUCUUAAGGAACUUUAUGCUGGAGCAGAUGGCCCUGCUCCAGCCCUGUCUAAUGCAGACACAAGCCUGGCAAGCUCACCCUUUCUUCAGCUGGCCCAGGACGCUCACUUCAUUGCAACAACAGCUGUGUGGAGACGCAGCCAGCUGCACAGCUCCCAUGACCCCUCGGACAGAGGACACCGUGGUGGGGGAGGCCCUCAUCGAGAUGCAGCCAGCUCUGGGGUGGAACAUGGCAGCACAGCACAAAGAAAGAAAGAGUCCUGUUGCCCGUGGGAACUGAUAGUCUUUAUGGAGGAAGGCUCCUGGAUGCAGGCUAGCACCGCACACGGAAUCCAGAAACCCAGCACAUCUGAACCCCACCCAUCGCUGCUCUGGGGGCCAAGGGAGACUCCCACGGAGAGCCCAGGGACUGGUGGAGGAGGCUGCAGUGCUGAGUGGGGGAUGGGGAUUUUUACUGGCAUGGGUACGAGCUGCAAUCUCUGGCUCCGUUACCUGAUACUCGAACCAGCCUCUUUGCUCAGUCCCUGAGGAGCUCAGCACCUUGGUCCGGUAACUACUUGGCUGCCUGUGACGGGAAGGCUGUGGCGGGUUAUGGCUGCAUGCUGAGCGGAGAGGAUGCCAAGGGUUUCCAUUAGCUUUAGCUUCAUUAGAGCGCCCGAGUGCAGCAGCUCGGGGCGGGCCCGGGGUGCAGCAAGGGCGGGGGAGCAGUGCGGGGAGCAAAGCGGGCAGCUGGCUUAGGUAAGAUGCCGAGGUGGAUGCUGUGGCUUGGGCAGGCCUGGCUCCUUGCUCCAUAGCCCCAGCUGACGGGGCAAUGCCUGAGCCCUCCCUUUCCCACAGCACUGCAAUGCAGCCACACCAUUCUUGCCACCGCAACAGCCGUGCUGGGCAGGGGGCUCCCCAGGGGCUGGGGGCUCAGUGCCACUUCAUGCUCUUGCUUUGAGUUUAUCUCCAGGGAAUCGACUGCUGGGAAAGGAGCCCAACAGGGCAUCCUGGCACGGGAAUUCUUCUGUCCACAGAGCAGGUCUCCCGUGGGCAGCGUGAGCUCUCUGCCCUACCCCGUACAUACCUCCACUGAGACAUGGAAGGGCUGAGAGGGGGGUCUGACUCCCCAGCCUGCUUGUUCACCUGCCUCUGCUGAGCCUGCCAGCAUGGGGGCACGGGAGGGGGUGUUGUGAUGGGGGCAUCUGUCUGGUAGGGUCU